GCCGGGGACCAUCUGGAGAGGUGGCAGAGCGGUUGAAUGUACCUGACUCGAAAUCAGGCAGGCGUUUAUAGCGCCUCGGGGGUUCGAAUCCCCCCCUCUCCGCCAGAUUCGCAAAAAAGGCCACCCAUUGGGUGGCCUUUUUUGCGUCUCUGACGGAGAGGGGGGGAUUGC
rnacentral:sRNA from 1 species